rnacentral:rRNA from 1 species
UGCGUAGGGUGCAAGCGUUGUCCGGAAUUAUUGGGCGUAAAGAGCUCGUAGGCGGUGUGUCGCGUCGGCCGUGAAAACCUGCAGCUUAACUGUGGGCUUGCGGUCGAUACGGGCAUCACUGGAGUUCGGCAGGGGAGACUGGAAUUCCUGGUGUAGCGGUGAAAUGCGCAGAUAUCAGGAGGAACACCGGUGGCGAAGGCGGGGUCUCUGGGCCGAUACUGACGCUGAGGAGCGAAAGCGUGGGGGAGCGAACAGG